GGCACAAGAACUACAUGGGCAAACAAACUACUGAAUUUCAGCAAGGCAGUUUAGCAAAUUCUUUUAUAAAUUUGAAGGAACCUGUGGAUUGGAUGAUUCUGCGUUGUGGCAGCAUUGUCAACUGAUGGACCCACCAGUUCCUGAAUCCUGCUGACUAAUGGAUCAUUGUCAACUUGCUGGAGCUUUGAGGAAGGGCUUCAGAAGCUGAUGGCAUAGUUAUGAGAGGGGUGAAGACUGCGACUGCAUUUCCAACAGACCCUGAGGACAAUUGGGAAGAAUGCGCUGAAUAUUUUUGAGCAAUUUCUAUAUGAUAAGCAGUUUUUAGGGCAAGUAUAGGUUGCACUGAUCCUGACCUUUUGGCCUGAGGAUGGAAGUCUUCAG
ensembl:lncRNA AQP4-AS1 AQP4 antisense RNA 1